rnacentral:rRNA from 1 species
UACGGAGGGGGCAAGCGUUGUUCGGAAUCAUUGGGCGUAAAGGGCGCGUAGGUGGUUCUGUAUGUCUACCGUGAAAGCGUACGGCUCAACCGUAUUUUGUCGGUAGAAACUGCAGGACUUGAGGCUGGGAGGGGCUGGUGGAAUUCCCUGUGUAGCGGUGAAAUGCGUAGAGAUGGGGGAGAACACUCGUGGCGAAGGCGGCCAGCUAGACCAGUUCUGACACUGAGGCGCGACAGCGUGGGAGCAAACAGG